rnacentral:rRNA from 1 species
CUGGCGGCGUGCCUAAUACAUGCAAGUAGAACGCUGAGGUUUGGUGUUUACACUAGACUGAUGAGUUGCGAACGGGUGAGUAACGCGUAGGUAACCUGCCUCAUAGCGGGGGAUAACUAUUGGAAACGAUAGCUAAUACCGCAUAAGAGUAAUUAACACAUGUUAGUUAUUUAAAAGGAGCAAUUGCUUCACUGUGAGAUGGACCUGCGUUGUAUUAGCUAGUUGGUGAGGUAAAGGCUCACCAAGGCGACGAUACAUAGCCGACCUGAGAGGGUGAUCGGCCACACUGGGACUGAGACACGGCCCAGACUCCUACGGGAGGCAGCAGUAGGGAAUCUUCGGCAAUGGACGGAAGUCUGACCGAGCAACGCCGCGUGAGUGAAGAAGGUUUUCGGAUCGUAAAGCUCUGUUGUUAGAGAAGAACGUUGGUAGGAGUGGAAAAUCUACCAAGUGACGGUAACUAACCAGAAAGGGACGGCUAACUACGUGCCAGCAGCCGCGGUAAUACGUAGGUCCCGAGCGUUGUCCGGAUUUAUUGGGCGUAAAGCGAGCGCAGGCGGUUCUUUAAGUCUGAAGUUAAAGGCAGUGGCUUAACCAUUGUACGCUUUGGAAACUGGAGGACUUGAGUGCAGAAGGGGAGAGUGGAAUUCCAUGUGUAGCGGUGAAAUGCGUAGAUAUAUGGAGGAACACCGGUGGCGAAAGCGGCUCUCUGGUCUGUAACUGACGCUGAGGCUCGAAAGCGUGGGGAGCAAACAGGAUUAGAUACCCUGGUAGUCCACGCCGUAAACGAUGAGUGCUAGGUGUUAGGCCCUUUCCGGGGCUUAGUGCCGCAGCUAACGCAUUAAGCACUCCGCCUGGGGAG